UUAAGGGCGCACGGUGGAUGCCUUGGCACUAGAAGCCGAUGAAGGACGUUACUAACGACGAUAUGCUUUGGGGAGCUGUAAGUAAGCUUUGAUCCAGAGAUUUCCGAAUGGGGAAACCCAGCAUGAGUUAUGUCAUGUUAUCGAUAUGUGAAUACAUAGCAUAUCAGAAGGCACACCCGGAGAACUGAAACAUCUUAGUACCCGGAGGAAGAGAAAGAAAAUUCGAUUCCCUUAGUAGCGGCGAGCGAAACGGGAAGAGCCCAAACCAACAAGCUUGCUUGUUGGGGUUGUAGGACACUCUAUACGGAGUUACAAAGGACGACAUUAGACGAAUCAUCUGGAAAGAUGAAUCAAAGAAGGUAAUAAUCCUGUAGUCGAAAAUGUUGUCUCUCUUGAGUGGAUCCUGAGUACGACGGAGCACGUGAAAUUCCGUCGGAAUCUGGGAGGACCAUCUCCUAAGGCUAAAUACUCUCUAGUGACCGAUAGUGAACCAGUACCGUGAGGGAAAGGUGAAAAGCACCCCGGAAGGGGAGUGAAAUAGAACCUGAAACCGUGUGCUUACAAGUAGUCAGAGCCCGUUAAUGGGUGAUGGCGUGCCUUUUGUAGAAUGAACCGGCGAGUUACGAUUUGAUGCAAGGUUAAGCAGUAAAUGUGGAGCCGUAGCGAAAGCGAGUCUGAAUAGGGCGUUUAGUAUUUGGUCGUAGACCCGAAACCAGGUGAUCUACCCUUGGUCAGGUUGAAGUUCAGGUAACACUGAAUGGAGGACCGAACCGACUUACGUUGAAAAGUGAGCGGAUGAACUGAGGGUAGCGGAGAAAUUCCAAUCGAACCUGGAGAUAGCUGGUUCUCUCCGAAAUAGCUUUAGGGCUAGCCUCAAGUGAUGAUUAUUGGAGGUAGAGCACUGUUUGGACGAGGGGCCCCUCUCGGGUUACCGAAUUCAGACAAACUCCGAAUGCCAAUUAAUUUAACUUGGGAGUCAGAACAUGGGUGAUAAGGUCCGUGUUCGAAAGGGAAACAGCCCAGACCACCAGCUAAGGUCCCAAAAUAUAUGUUAAGUGGAAAAGGAUGUGGCGUUGCCCAGACAACUAGGAUGUUGGCUUAGAAGCAGCCAUCAUUUAAAGAGUGCGUAAUAGCUCACUAGUCGAGUGACACUGCGCCGAAAAUGUACCGGGGCUAAACAUAUUACCGAAGCUGUGGAUUGUCCUUUGGACAAUGGUAGGAGAGCGUUCUAAGGGCGUUGAAGCAUGAUCGUAAGGACAUGUGGAGCGCUUAGAAGUGAGAAUGCCGGUGUGAGUAGCGAAAGACGGGUGAGAAUCCCGUCCACCGAUUGACUAAGGUUUCCAGAGGAAGGCUCGUCCGCUCUGGGUUAGUCGGGUCCUAAGCUGAGGCCGACAGGCGUAGGCGAUGGAUAACAGGUUGAUAUUCCUGUACCACCUAUAAUCGUUUUAAUCGAUGGGGGGGACGCAGUAGGAUAGGCGAAGCGUGCGAUUGGAUUGCACGUCUAAGCAGUAAGGCUGAGUAUUAGGCAAAUCCGGUACUCAUUAAGGCUGAGCUGUGAUGGGGAGAAGACAUUGUGUCUUCGAGUCGUUGAUUUCACACUGCCGAGAAAAGCCUCUAGAUAGAAAAUAGGUGCCCGUACCGCAAACCGACACAGGUAGUCAAGAUGAGAAUUCUAAGGUGAGCGAGCGAACUCUCGUUAAGGAACUCGGCAAAAUGACCCCGUAACUUCGGGAGAAGGGGUGCUCUUUAGGGUUAACGCCCAGAAGAGCCGCAGUGAAUAGGCCCAAGCGACUGUUUAUCAAAAACACAGGUCUCUGCUAAACCGUAAGGUGAUGUAUAGGGGCUGACGCCUGCCCGGUGCUGGAAGGUUAAGAGGAGUGGUUAGCUUCUGCGAAGCUACGAAUCGAAGCCCCAGUAAACGGCGGCCGUAACUAUAACGGUCCUAAGGUAGCGAAAUUCCUUGUCGGGUAAGUUCCGACCCGCACGAAAGGCGUAACGAUUUGGGCACUGUCUCAACGAGAGACUCGGUGAAAUCAUAGUACCUGUGAAGAUGCAGGUUACCCGCGACAGGACGGAAAGACCCCGUGGAGCUUUACUGUAGCCUGAUAUUGAAAUUCGGCACAGCUUGUACAGGAUAGGUAGGAGCCUUUGAAACGUGAGCGCUAGCUUACGUGGAGGCGCUGGUGGGAUACUACCCUAGCUGUGUUGGCUUUCUAACCCGCACCACUUAUCGUGGUGGGAGACAGUGUCAGGCGGGCAGUUUGACUGGGGCGGUCGCCUCCUAAAAGGUAACGGAGGCGCUCAAAGGUUCCCUCAGAAUGGUUGGAAAUCAUUCAUAGAGUGUAAAGGCAUAAGGGAGCUUGACUGCGAGACCUACAAGUCGAGCAGGGUCGAAAGACGGACUUAGUGAUCCGGUGGUUCCGCAUGGAAGGGCCAUCGCUCAACGGAUAAAAGCUACCCCGGGGAUAACAGGCUUAUCUCCCCCAAGAGUUCACAUCGACGGGGAGGUUUGGCACCUCGAUGUCGGCUCAUCGCAUCCUGGGGCUGUAGUCGGUCCCAAGGGUUGGGCUGUUCGCCCAUUAAAGCGGUACGCGAGCUGGGUUCAGAACGUCGUGAGACAGUUCGGUCCCUAUCCGUCGUGGGCGUAGGAAAUUUGAGAGGAGCUGUCCUUAGUACGAGAGGACCGGGAUGGACAUACCUCUGGUGUACCAGUUGUCGUGCCAACGGCAUAGCUGGGUAGCUAUGUGUGGACGGGAUAAGUGCUGAAAGCAUCUAAGCAUGAAGCCCCCCUCAAGAUGAGAUUUCCCAACUUCGGUUAUAAGAUCCCUCAAAGAUGAUGAGGUUAAUAGGUUCGAGGUGGAAGCAUGGUGACAUGUGGAGCUGACGAAUACUAAUCGAUCGAAGACUUAAUC
rnacentral:rRNA from 1 species